AAGAACAUUCUCAAUAUCUUUGUUUUGGGGAUUCAAAUGUACAUAUUGGUACCUCUUUCAGGAUAUACAGCUGAUAAAAGUACACAUUAAGCCAUUGCCAGUUCAAACAACACUUCACAUGCAUUUGAAAGAAUGCCUAGACAAGAAGCAGAAUUGGGAGAGAAUAAUAAAAGCUAAAGUUUAUUGAGCACUUUCUAAUGCUCUAAGCCAUCAAAUGUCAG
rnacentral:lncRNA from 1 species